rnacentral:rRNA from 1 species
CCCAGACUCCUACGGGAGGCAGCAGUGGGGAAUCUUCCGCAAUGGGCGCAAGCCUGACGGAGCAAUGCCGCGUGAACGAAGAAGGUCUUCGGAUUGUAAAGUUCUGUCCUUAUCGAAGAGAGGGUAUAGAGUGAAAAAUGAUAUACUAGGACGGUAGAUGAGGAGGAAGCCCCGGCUAACUACGUGCCAGCAACCGCGGUAAUACGUAGGGGGCAAGCGUUAUCCGGAUUUACUGGGUGUAAAGGGAGCGUAGACGGCAUAGCAAGUCUGAAGUGAAAGCCCGUGGCUCAACCGCGGAACUGCUUUGGAAACUGUUAAGCUGGAGUACUGGAGAGGCAAGCGGAAUUCCUAGUGUAGCGGUGAAAUGCGUAGAUAUUAGGAGGAACACCAGUGGCGAAGGCGGCUUGCUGGACAGAGACUGACGUUGAGGCUCGAAAGCGUGGGGAGCAAACAGGAUUAGAUACCCUAGUAC